rnacentral:rRNA from 1 species
AACACCAUAAAUAAAUAGAUACCAUAAGUAAUUAAUAAUAACCUACAGUGUUAAACUAAACCAUUUUUCCACCUGAGUACGGGAGACGGAAAGGGAUACCUCAAGCAAUAGAGAAAGUACCGCAAGGGAAAGCUGAAAGAGUAGUGAAAUAACCCAUAUAAGCAUAGAAAAGCAAAGCCUAAACCUUGUACCUUUUGCAUCAUGAUUUAGCCAGUAUCUUACAAGCAAAGAGACCUUUAGUUUGUUACCCCGAAACCAAGUGAGCUACCCCGGGGCAGCCUAGCAGGGCCAACCCGUCUCUGUGGCAAAAGAGUGGGAAGACCCCCGGGUAGAGGCGAUAAACCUACCGAACUUGGUGAUAGCUGGUUGCCUGAGAAGUGAAUAGAAGUUCAGCCUCGUGCCCCUUAACGCAAUGAUGAUAUGUCUAAUCAAGCAGGUGAGAGAAAUACGAGAGUUAGUUAAAAGGGGUACAGCCCUUUUAACCAAGGACACAACCUUAAACAGGAGGAUAAAGAUCAUAUUCACCAAAACUAGUUGCCUCAGUGGGCCUAAAAGCAGCCACCUGAUCAGAAAGCGUUAAAGCUCAAGCAACUCAGAGUUUAUUAUUCUGAUAGUUAAUCUUACUCCCCUAACAAUAUCAGGCUAUUCCAUGCCAACAUGGAAGAGACCAUGCUAGAAUGAGUAAUAAGAGACCAGCCUCUCUCCUUGCACGAGUGUAAACCAGAUCGGACAAACCACUGGUAGUUAACGAACCCAAUAAAAGAGGGUAAUGUGCAUAGCAAAUUAACCAGGAAAUUCUCACAACUCUUCAUCGUUAACCUCACACUAGGGUGCCCCAAAGGAAAGACUAAAAGAAAGGGAAGGAACUCGGCAAACCCAAGCCUCGCCUGUUUACCAAAAACAUCGCCUCCUGCAAACCCCUAUGUAUAGGAGGUCCAGCCUGCCCAGUGACUACAAGUUCAACGGCCGCGGUAUUUUGACCGUGCAAAGGUAGCGCAAUCACUUGUCUUUUAAAUGAAGACCUGUAUGAAUGGCCAAACGAGGGCUUAGCUGUCUCCCCUCUCCAGUCAGUGAAAUUGAUCUAUCCGUGCAG